GAUGAACGCUGGCGGCGUGCCUAAUACAUGCAAGUCGAGCGAACGGACGAGAAGCUUGCUUCUCGGAUGUUAGCGGCGGACGGGUGAGUAACACGUGUAUAACCUACCUAUAAGACUGGGAUAACUUCGGGAAACCGGAGCUAAUACCGGAUAAUAUUCUGAACCGCAUGGUUCAAAAGUGAAAGACGGUCUUGCUGUCACUUAUAGAUGGAUCCGCGCUGCAUUAGAUAGUUGGUAAGGUAACGGCUUACCAAGGCAACGAUGCAUAGCCGACCUGAGAGGGGGAUCGGCCACACUGGAAGUGGACCACGGUCCAGACUCCUACGGGAGGCAGCAGUAGGGAAUCUUCCGCAAUGGGCGAAAGCCUGACGGAGCAACGGCGCGUGAGUGAUGAAGGUCUUCGGAUCGUAAAACUCUGUUAUUAGGGAAGAACAUAUGUGUAAGUAACUGUGCACAUCUUGACGGUACCUAAUCAGAAAGCAACGGCUAACUACGUG
rnacentral:rRNA from 1 species